rnacentral:rRNA from 1 species
AAGUCGUAACAAGGUUUCCGUAGGUGAACCUGCGGAAGGAUCAUUAUUGAAAUAAAACUCAGGCAGGGGGGAGUGUGGUUGUAGCUGGCCCCCUAAUAAGGGCAUGUGCACACUGUCUCUUUCUCUUGUUUGUUUUUUCAUUCUUUCCACUUGUGCACUGCUUGUAGGCAGCCUGGCAUUGUUCGGGUUGUCUAUGAUUUUAUUUUACAUACAUGAAUCAUUGUUGUACAGAAUGUGAUAAAAAAAUAAUAAUACAACUUUCAACAACGGAUCUCUUGGCUCUCGCAUCGAUGAAGAACGCAGCGAAAUGCGAUAAGUAAUGUGAAUUGCAGAAUUCAGUGAAUCAUCGAAUCUUUGAACGCAUCUUGCGCUCCUUGGUAUUCCGAGGAGCAUGCCUGUUUGAGUGUCAUUAAAUUCUGUCAAAACAUGCACUUGAGUGUGUUUUGGAUUGUGGGAGUGUCUGCUGGCUUUAUAUGAGUCAGCUCUCCUGAAAGACAUUAGCUUUGGAGGGAUGUGCCAAGUCACUUCUGCCUUUCCAUUGGUGUGAUAGAUGAAUAAACUUAUCUACGCCAGGAAAGCAGGUUGCAGGUGAUGCACUGUGAUCUCUCUGCUCUCUAAUUGACAUUUGUCU